UACGAAGGGGGCUAGCGUUGCUCGGAAUCACUGGGCGUAAAGGGUGCGUAGGCGGGUCUUUAAGUCAGGGGUGAAAUCCUGGAGCUCAACUCCAGAACUGCCUUUGAUACUGAAGAUCUUGAGUCCGGGAGAGGUGAGUGGAACUGCCGAGUGUAGAGGUGAAAUUCGUAGAUAUUCGCAAGAACACCAGUGGCGAAGGCGGCUCACUGGCCCGGUACUGACGCUGAGGCACGGAAAGCGUGGGGAGCAAACAGG
rnacentral:rRNA from 1 species